UCGUGAUGCCACUUAUUACAGUUACCAGAACAGGUAAGCUUGGCCAGGUGUGGACCAUGGUCCAUGUGUCCACAUGUCCAGGGAGUGCAUGCGGAUGGGCCAGCACACAUACAGUCAUGGUUCAUGUGUAUCUUGCUUGAAGACAGCUGUAUAGCACAAGUUCUGUUUUUUGCCUUCUGCCUUUGUUUGCAGAACAAUAAAAUUUUCUAUCAGAGUAGCCUUGCAUCAGUUACCUGGGUUCCUCCCAAGAGCUUGAGAAGUUAAGCAACUUUGUGAGUUGUUGGCCUAGAUGGGUCUAUAUCCCAGGCCCCACUUCUCUUUCUACUGUGUGUUUGUUGAUCACCACAGCCUGAGGCAAAACUGAGAAGAUUUUUAAACUUUUAACUGAAACUCGCUAGACAGCUUUUUGGAAAUAUUUCCUUUUUAGAUGAGGCCUAUCCCUAAGUAGUUGUUAUUAGAAUAUAUGAAAACAGGAUUCUGGAGUCUUUUCUUUGCCUCAUAUUAAGCAAAUUAAAAGGAAAACCUCACAUAGCUCUCUGUACCUUACUUUUCCCAACCCAGCCUUGUAUGUGACAGAGGAUGAUUUGAGUCUAAUAAACGAGGCACCUCUGCCUAAUUUUCUCCUGCCCAAUCAAUGGCUGUAAUCACAUAAAUCUCAUUCACUAAUCUAUCUUAACCACAAUUUGUCUCCUGUUUUCAGUGAUCAGCUACAAGUAUAGCUUGCAUUGGGUGUUUAUUUGGGGCUCUGAUACAAUAAUAACAAGGCUGGAUGAUAUUAAUACCCUUUAUUUGUUUGUUAAUACCAAAUCCAUGGUGUUGGUUUUUGCUGAACUUGUGUGUUGCAGAUGCAUUUCUAGCUUUGAAAAGUCACUUAAACUUUUUCUUUUAUUUACAAAAAGUUAGGCGUGCUUCUAAUGCUUUGUAGACCUAAUGCUUUGAUUUUGCAGUGAGUAAAAAUCUAGCUCUUUACUCAUUUGAAACCUAGAAAAGGUGGGACUCAAGUUGUUAUAAGUACCUUAUGUUUAAAAAAGCAAGUAACUGGACAUGAAACUUUUCUCAUGUUUACUAAAACAGUAGUCUAAAGUGUUUAUCUUUGCACCAAGCCAUCUUUAAUCAGGUACCUGCACACAUCAUUUCCUUUUGAAAUGUAUCACUUGAUGGCUGUAGUCAGUAUUUAACUGCUUGUGCAGGCUUUUCAAUAAACAGUUUUUUUUCUUUCUUUGUUGAGACAGGGUCUCACUCUGUCACUCAGGCUGGAGUGCAGUGGCGCAAUCUUAGCUCACUGCAACCUCUGCCUCCCGGGUUCAAGCGAUUCUCCUGCCUCAGCCUUCCAAAUAGUUGGGAUUACAGGUGUGUGCCACCAUGCCUUGCUUAUUUUUGUAUUUUUAGUAGAGACAGGGUUUCAGCAUGUUGGCCAGGCUGGUCUCGAUCUCCUGACCUCAGAUGAUCCACCCUCUCAGCCUUCCAAAGUGCUAGGAUUAUAGGUAUGAGCCACCACGCCUGGCAAUGGUUGUUUUAGAUUAUUGUUUUCUGCAGUUGUAUCUAUAGUGGGCUUUUGGGGUGGGGGGUGGGGGUCUGUGGUUUUUUGUUUUGUAAGUGGGAAGAGGUGUGAUUCCUGUAUUUAGGUAAUGAGUAGCAGUUCUUCUCUCCCUGGUAUAUUUAUCCUUCUUCCUCCUUUUGAUUAUUUACAUCACAUAGCGUUAAUUGCUGAAAUGAAAGGAUAUGGGUCUGUGUAAUUGAAACAUUUGCUUUUAUUUGCAGUAAUCAUUUGCUACUUGUGAUCCCAUUUGAGAUAUUUAAUGCUAAUCUGUGCUUUGCCUUGGCUUUCUGCUUUGUGUUGUUCUGUCUUGCUUUUAUGUUUUUUGUUGUCUUGCAAUCCCUCAUUUCUUCGUUUGUUUUGUGUUUUUUUUUCUCCCUCAUGCUUGUCGUUGUCUGCACUUGGCUUUGAUUGC
rnacentral:lncRNA from 10 species